rnacentral:rRNA from 1 species
CCUACGGGUGGCUGCAGUGAGGAAUAUUGGUCAAUGGGCGAGAGCCUGAACCAGCCAAGCCGCGUGAGGGAGUACUGCCCUAUGGGUUGUAAACCUCUUUUGUCGGGGAGCAAAAGCCGGACGUGUCCGGCUGUGAGAGUACCCGAAGAAAAAGCAUCGGCUAACUCCGUGCCAGCAGCCGCGGUAAUACGGAGGAUGCUAGCGUUAUCCGGAAUUAUUGGGUGUAAAGGGGGCGCAGGCGGGUUUUUAAGUCAGCGGUCAAAUCGUGGGGCUCAACGCCAUCCAGCCGUUGAAACUGGGGGUCGAGAGUGUGCGAGAGGUAUGCGGAAUGCGGGGUGUAGCGGUGAAUGGCAU